UAAAAAUGACAGAGAUCAGUGUUUAUAGUUAGGUCUUUGGUCUGGAAACCUGAUGGUUGUAACUCAGUAGUUCAAGUUUUAGCUAAGACUUCUGCUCAUGUCUUCCAAACUUAGGUUGCUCAGGGGUUUAUUUCACUCCUGGUCCUGCAGUUGCUGGCAUCUUAGCAGGCACUCGAGCAAUGCGCUCUUGGCCAUCUAAGAAAGUACUUGUGACCUUAUCCUUGACAGGAGGACUGUGCAAGGGCUGCUGCUAAUCAAUUUUGUCAGCAGUCACUUGAAAUACUGAUCAAUGACUUGAUUUUUGUCUAGAGGUCUACCAGUAAUGACAUUCGGCCUGCCUGCCACUCUUGCCUGUCCUCAGCUGUGCUGUACCACGUGUAUUUUGAAUAACAGUUCUGCUCGGUCACUCAGGGAUCUGACAACAGUACACUUUGUCAUUGCUUACAGCAGGAAGCCUGCAUCUGAAGUGGGAAAUCAGAUAAAAUUGUCUGCAAGGAUAGAUGAGAUGGCGAGUGCAGUCUUUACUGCUACUUCUUUGUUUUGUUUCUGGUUGAGCAUUUUUGUUCAGCCACUGAAAUAGCAAGUCUCAUGCAGCUGAGACCUAGCAGGUUCUCUAGCCUUUUGAACUGCCACCAAGAAAUGAUUAAUUGGUGGAGGUCAUGGCUGAAGGUGACAAAUGCCUUGUGAUGGACAAAAGAAAGCAUGUGAACUGACCUAGUUUCAGCUCUGGCAGUGGGAGAUAAUUCUGCAUGGUCCUUGGUCAUUAGACCUAACUCUAGAAAAUGAAGUUACCUAUUCUGCCACCAUCACUAAUGAGCGUGGCUGUUGUCCAGCAUUCAGAAAAGAGAAUUAGAAGACAAGUCAGCUUUGGAACUCAGCUUCUCAUUGUGUACAGGGGACACCAAGUCUCAUCUCAUAAGGAUGAGACUUAGAUUAUGAGCUCUUUAAAACUUAGAGAGUCAGGUGAAAUGUGAUAAGACGUUGAUAUUUUUCAUAAUUCAUUAAAUGACAGAAGCUUUAGCUUAUGCUCACGUACCCUAAAGUAUCAUCAAGAAGAUAUGCAACAAAUCAUGAAAUCAGCCCACUGAAUCAGUUUGAGAUUGCAAUAAAAUAGUCUUACUUGAAUUCUUGUGAAAGCACUGUCCUUGGUGGUGUGUCAGCUUUGUUAGCAGGAAAUUCAGAUGCUGAUGCCUCUCCUCAAUGAUAAAUACUUGGAAGAUGUGGAUGUCUUAGGUGAUAAUCACAGCACAAAUAGUUGAGAGUGGAUCAAGUUUUGUGUACAAGUAUUUGGUGGAAUAUGGAAACUAAAAAUUCACUGUACAAAGUCUUGCUAUAACCAAGAUGUGCAUGUGAUUUUCUUCAAGUGCAAUUGGUACAGAGCUCUUAAGCGUAGGUCUGUUUCAGAAGUUCUUGUAGGAGUGUGUGUAUGUACACACACGUACCUAAACUGAAUCAUGCGUGUAUGUGCAUACAGAAAAAAGGCACAGUUACAUCUGAUCAGAGUAAAUGAAGAGAAAGUAAUAAAAGCACAUCCCAAAAGGUGAAAUUAUUCUACUCUUUCACUCUGCACCAGGAAGUGGCUGCUAAUGAGACUCAGUCCUUUUGAUGUUACCGGUUUUACAGCUGCAAAAGCCUUUGGUCUUGAUGGCUGUUUAAUUCAAAAAUAUGAGACAAAAGUACUUGAGGACACCUUGAAACAAUUAUUAAAUAAAACAUUUCACCUGUGCUUAAUGUAAUUGUUAGAUCUAUUAUCUUUCCUAAGUAGCUUAAGUCAAGUUCAGGCUAUUUUGAUUCAAUUUGAGAUGGGAUGAAAUUAAACCUCUUAAAUAGCGAGAAAGUUUUUCUCUAUUCCUUAUGAAUUAGUGAUUAUUGCCAUGUCCCUGAACCUGCCUUUCCUUUGCAGAUCCUGAGGUUUUGCAGGCUUCUACCAGUUCCACAAAUAACUUUGUGAAAGGUUCCUCCAAGACCAGCCACAGCUCCUGUGUCUUCACUUCCUUAUGGGAAAGGACAAGGGCAUACCUUGCUUUUUGUGGCCUUUUCUGUCGGAUGAGGUUCUUGAGCUGAUAAUGCAGGAAAUUUUCAGAUGUUCGGAAACCAGGUCACCCAGCAGUUUCAAGUGGACAUUUGUACACUUCUGCAAGAGAAAAUACAUCUCUUGAGCUGACAUACUUCAGAGAAGUUCUCAGAUCACAACUAGUGGAGCAGAUGAACUGAGAAGAGGCACUUUCAGUGAUGUGUGCAGUAGAUUCAGCAGAUCCAGCCUCCUAUUUCCUAUUCUUCCAAUAUCAUCUGUUACUGACGAGGGCAUUUUGUAUAUUGUCCUUACACAAUUGGCAGAGGUCAAAGUAAAGUGAAAUGAAUUGCAUGAAUGGUGCAAACUGUAAUGCAAAUUCUGAUAAGUAAUUCUUUUUGGAUGAUGUUUUGACAUGUUUUUUGAAGGUUACAAUUGUACUAGCUUCUACUCUGUUCAUACCACAAGGUAACAGACCGUGAAUCUGAGUAGACGAGAUACAGUGAGAAGUGUACAAAAACUUAACUUUUUUUGUAUGGCCAACUAUGAAAAUUAUUAUUAUUUUUUUUUUUUUUAAAAAAAAAGGCUGAUACCAUAGCUGAGCCAUCUCUCUGUAAACCAAUCAGAAAAUCAAACUCUGACAAAAAGCCUGUGAGAAAUUCUUUAAAUCCCUUCCCCUUUUAUCUCUGCUUCUUUGCCUGGAAACUGAUUAAUGCCUAUUGGAGUUGAAAUUCUGCUGUUCUGUCAGCUAGUCAGCAUCUGAAGGGAGAGGUGAGUUUUCAGAACUUCUGUUUUUUUUGUUGUGUAUUAAUAAAAAGACCAUCAUUUUUAUUUAUUUAGAAUUUUGCAGUGCGCCAUGCACAUCCCUCUUUGUAAUAUGUCUAAGUUUAUUGGGGGAUCGGAGGUAAGUGUUUUUCUGUGAUGAUUAAAUAUCCCAAGUAUGGGCAGAUCCUCAGCUAACAAAUCAAUGCGCAGGUAGUUCUCAAGAGGUUAGAACAAAUGGUCCAAUGCUAAUCUUGCUAAAACGUGUAAGUCUUAGUUCUGGUAACACUUGGAGACAGUAGCUAUUAAAAUUGACCUGCAGUCCCCAUUUGACAAAAAAGGUGCCAGAUUUUCUCAAAGACCCUGUCUAUGUAAGGAUUUCCACCCAAAGGAUUAGGAUCAGAUCACAUUUUUAAUAGCUGUGUGAAGAGCUGUGCAGGAACUUGAGGCUGGAAUUUGUAGGAGCCAGAAGGUUAUCAAAAAAGGUGUAUGUGAUUUCAAUGCUUUUCCUGUCUUGGUGUUCGAUAGAUGUACUGGGACCUGGGGGAAGAAGAGGAGGGUUUGAAUUUUUUUGAAGGUUUUGAAAGAUUAUGCCUCUGUUAUUUGUUGACUGGUGUAGCUCAUCAAAGCUCUUAGUUGUUUGCAGAAUGUUCCACAAAUCAAAGUCUGUUUUUGCCUUUGAUUAAAAAAA